AUGUCAUUCUUUUAUUGCAGAAGCAAAACCAUGGAUGUUGUAAAUGCUGUGAAAAUGAUCGUACUGGUUUGGACUUUCGCAUCUGUCUGUGAGGCCAGUGAUGAUUCAUGUACCUUAAGUUCAAGCUGUGCUGAUGUGACUGGUACUGUGCAUGAAGAACUAACUCUCACUUGCAGCAUCUCACUGAACUGCACUAAAGAAGCUGAUCAGUGCUGCAUUAUAUCGUACAUGUUUAAGGAUGAAAACACCACAGUAAUCUACAAAAAGGAGUUUCCUAACAAGACCUGUGAACGAAAGAUCAAAGCCACAUGUGUUUACAAAUCAAGUAAAAACAUCACAGCAAAAUUUAUGUUAUUUUUCCAAACAACUUGUGGGAUAAAGGACACAGAAUUCAUCGUUAAUGUAACAGGUAGGCUACAUGGUGCUAGUUUUUCUAACACAUCAAACUGUUUUGUUUUGUUGACCUUAUGAUCUUUAAAAAUCUGUUUACAGAGUCUGGAGAUAAACCCACCAAUACAGAUACUGUUAAGAAAGGUAUUGCUUAUCAUAUUCAUAUUCUAUCAUUUUACUGCUGUUUACUGGUCCAUAUUACUUACAGGAACAUGAGAAGCUGCACUUCAUCCUCUUGUCAGCACAUUUGUAACUCCACGUCAUAAAUCAUAAGUGAUUUCAGGAGUCAAAGUACAUAGAUCAUGAUAAUAAUAGAUAUAUUCUAUCUAAUAUCUAGCAGAAAUAUACAAAAUGCAAUGAAUAUAUGAGUCUGGUGUUGUUUUUGUAGUUUUAACCAUGUCCUAACAAAGUCUGAAUUCACUUUGAGAUAUAAUUUUUUUUUUCUUUAUUUUCUCAUCAAAGGUGAAGCAAAGCUGACAACAUCUGAGGUCACUGUCAUUGUGUUCGCCAUAAUUGUCUUCAUCAUCAUAAUGUUAAUCAUUUAUAGGAAAUACAAUCCCACAAUCCCUUGUCGACUCCAGAGAGACUAUAAAACAGCUGAUUCUGCCACAAAAGAUGAUGACAACGGUGAAUAGUCAGAAUGAGCUUCUCAACCGCACAGCAGGACUGUGUAGCAGUUGUGUUUCACAUCCAGUGCAGGUCAUGAGCCUUUAAACAUGUUUAUUGUUGCACCAGUGUUGUUAAAAGUGUGUACAGAGGAAUCAUAACUGUCUGUUUUAUUUGGUCUACUCAGUGCACUCUUAUCCUAAGCUGUAUGUUCUGUUUUAUAUUGAUUUCUGUGAAAUAACAGAAUGCUAUCGAUCUGUUUGAUCAGAUUACUGUAUACAGUAAUUAUGUUGAAUGUUCUCAAGUCCAUACACUCUCAGAAAAAAAGGUACAAAAUCUGUCACUGGGACGGUACCAGUGUUGGGAAGGUUACUUUGGUAAUGUAACAGGUUACAGAUUACAAGUUACCCUAUUUAAAAUGUAAUAAGUAGUGUAACUAUUUCAGUUACUUUAUUGGAGUAACUGAUUACAUUUGAUUACUUUUUGAUAACUUUUCUAAAUCUCUAAUGAAUGUUUUUAACUGGUAAUCAUUUUCAAACAUGUAAAUCAGGCAGGGUUAACCUCACACUAGAAAUCCCUGAUCACUUGAUUUAAGAUCAUUGGUGUCUCAUAUUUUAGAGCAGUCAAUGCAAUUUGGGAAAGAAAUCAGUCAAAUCUGUGUGUGUGUGUGUGUGUGUGUGUGAUUGUGUGUGAAAAUAUUCAGAUGUAACCCCCUUUGUAAUCGUUAACAUUUUCAUAAGUAACUGUAAUCAGUAAGAUUACAGUUACAUUUAUUUUGUAAUUAAAUUACGUAAUUCUGUUACAUGUAACUAGUUACUCCCCAACCCUGGACGAUACCUUAUCAAAAGGUACACCUUUGUACCUUAUUUACCCCUAAAAAGUGCAUAUUAGUACCUUAAAGUUACAAAUGAAUACCUUAAGUGUACAUAUUAGUACUUUUUAAAAAGGAACUGCACCAGUGUCAGCUUUUGUACCAUUUCUCUGAGUGUAUAAUCAAGCUCCUAUAUUGACAGGCCUCAGGAAUUUUCUUGGUUUGUUGGGUGUUGUUGUGUUUUUUUUUUCUUUUCUUUUUUUCUGUAUAAUGAAUAGGGUAAUUUGCUUCUCUAACCUCAUGUCAUUUGAGGACAUGUUAUCUGUCGGCAUGUGUCUGCUUUGUUUGUCUGCCACGUGAGUGAAUUUGCGUUGAGUUUCUUUGAAUGAGAUGCCCUGAAUAAAACAUUUUUCAUCUGUUUAAAAACA
ensembl:lncRNA